GGGGGUGAACGGUUUCGACUUCGGUUGUCGUUCCAGAGGAAGCGGGUCGAGGACUGCGGAUCUGACCUCGUGAACCAUGCUCCGCAACCCAUAAGUGCCGAUAACACGCGCACUGGCUUCGCCCUCGCUGCCUAAGCGAGCGCACUAAGAAGCCCGUCAGCCCGAGAGUGCUUCCGGCUCGGGAUCUGGCGUCGCUAGGAGGCUCCACCUUGUUCCACGGUCACGGUGGAACGGGGGAAACCCAACAGUGACUGAGCCCAUCGACGACUUGCCUGUGUGCUCGUCGGGGCUGAGAAACCAGUAACAGGCUGCACCCGGAGAAGCUCUGCUCCGGCACCGAAGGACCCGGGUUCGAUUCCCGGCACCUCCACCU
rnacentral:tmRNA from 1 species